UCAUGAAACGUCGCAUCGUCGGGUGAGAGAAAACUGAGUAACCAUCCACAGUGUGGUGUAACGCAGUGAUUGUGGCGACGUGCACUCUAAUAGAGGCGCAGCUGAGAGAAGAGCUCUUGAGGUGCAUGAGGUAGUCCAGGAUACGGUGGAUGGGUGCGGAGUAGGGA